AACGAACGCUGGCGGCAUGCCUAACACAUGCAAGUCGAACGAGACCUUCGGGUCUAGUGGCGCACGGGUGCGUAACGCGUGGGAACCUGCCCUUAGGUUCGGAAUAACUCCCCGAAAGAGGUGCUAAUACCGGAUAAUGUCUUCGGACCAAAGAUUUAUCGCCUUUGGAUGGGCCCGCGUUGGAUUAGCUAGUUGGUAGGGUAAAAGCCUACCAAGGCGACGAUCCAUAGCUGGUCUGAGAGGAUGAUCAGCCACACUGGGACUGAGACACGGACCAGACUCCUACGGGAGGCAGCAGUGGGGAAUAUUGGACAAUGGGCGAAAGCCUGAUCCAGCAAUGCCGCGUGAGUGAUGAAGGCCUUAGGGUUGUAAAGCUCUUUUACCCGGGAUGAUAAUGACAGUACCGGGAGAAUAAGCUCCGGCUAACUCCGUG
rnacentral:rRNA from 1 species